rnacentral:rRNA from 1 species
CUUUCGGGUUGUAAACUCCUGUCAUUUGGGAACAAGGCCUUACGUUAACUGCGUGGAGGUUUGAUAGUACCGAAAGAGGAAGAGACGGCUAACUCUGUGC